rnacentral:misc_RNA from 1 species
UUUCCGUAGGUGAACCUGCGGAAGGAUCAUUAAAGAGUAAGGGUCUUCUAGGCCCGACCUCCCAACCCUUUGUUUACCAAACCAUUGUUGCUUCGGCGGGCCCGUCCCAGGACCGCCGGAGGACCGUCAAACGUCCUCUGGCCCGCGCCCGUCGAUGGCCCCUAUCAUUAAACUCUGAACCAAACGUGUCCUGUCUGAGUGAUUAUUAUCAAAAAUUAAAGCAAAAACUUUCGACAACGGAUCUCUUGGUUCUG